rnacentral:lncRNA from 1 species
UCUAGUGGUUUGUGUUUGUCCUCACUUUGCUUACUCCACUCUUCAAUGGUGUUAAAGAAACAUCAAGAAAUAAUAAUGAUCUUCCACUAUUUUGAUAAGUUUGAUGUAAGCAUUUUGAUUACAAUGAAAUAUCACACUAAAAAUCCCUUUGUUGAUGUAGACACUCAAACUGCUAACGAAAACAAUAUCCCAAAAGAUCUUGAUCCAAUAACCUUGUUAUCCAUAAUAAUUCUGCUCCAAG